CCCCUCACCACGCCCCCCACGCUCUGCGCUCCUUCAUGCCCCUCCCCUUCCUCUCAGCGUCCUCCACGCUCCGAUCAUGCGGCCUGUGGCCAUGUGCCAUGCUCCCCGGCUAAAGCGGGUUUAAUUAAUGGCUCCUGAGGCCAGCUCCUGAGCGCUCCUGAGGCAGCUUGAAACCCAGCAAAAGCUCCCUGGCUGAUAAAAGUUCAGUGGCUAAAAUGGAAAUACUGGGACCCGGGUAGGUGGAAAUUGCGUUUUCAAAGCCACCUUUCGCUCCAUCCCCUCCAUCUGGUCGGGCUGCUGGAAUCCUCACAGUGGAGAACUUCCAGCUGAGGGAUCUACACUUUGGUCAUGCCUCAUAGAAGAACAGCCCCAGCCAUAGUAUUAAAAGGAGGAAACAUCACAGUGGACAGCUCUAAUUCCUGCACUAUAGACAGGAAAUGCAGAAGCCCAACAGGCCAUCAGAGAAUUUCACACCUGGGCUGUCUUGAUCUGGUUCCUUGGAGAAUUGCUCUGUGGAUCUGAGCCUUGGCCCCGCUCCAUCGGCCCACACUGAGGAGUGCCGCAAACAACCCCGUGAGCCCCACUGCUUCAUUGCCUGGAGGAUGUGAUUGAGGAUGUGGUCUGCUGCUCUUUGUAUGGACCCAAGAAAGAAGUUUCUUUCAGACCUUGUACCAGGAAUAGUCGUGCUUCUCCUGAGCAACUGGCUUGUUUUGUUUUUGUAAACACUCUAAAUUGUGUAACUGUCUGUGUCUUUCAAAGCCAUCUAAAAUCCUUUGGGAACAAGACAGGGUGUAAAAUAAAGCUAUUCAGAGUUUAGACCAAGCUCCCUAUUUAACACAUUACAUUCCUUUUGGAAAAGUCGCUUCAUUUGGCUGACUUUCUUUGCUUGUAAGUUAGAGAUAAUGAGUUCUUCCUGUGAACAGAGUGUAAAUUAAUAUUUUUAAAGCACUCAGAGUUCCCUCAAUGCAAGUGAUUAUGGAAACCAACACUAAUAUUUAAUUUAUUUAAAUCUCUGCUAUUUUGUAAUUCCCUCUCUUUUUAUGUCAUUCCUGAACUUUGCUUGCACAUUCAUUUACUUGGCACAUUUGAGGAUGUAACAGUGCACCAAACACCCUGGAAGGAUACAGAUUAAAAAGCCUGGAUUGUGCUUUCCAGUAGCAUGAAGAGUUGAGGCUGUGUUUUUGACUAAAUUGGAGAUUUAAAUAACAAGAAAACAGUAAAUGAAUAAGUAAAUAAAUAUCUUAAUUAUAAAAUUCUGUGGUUGCAGUGAAGAAAAGAAAUAGGGAACAGUGGGAAAGGAUGACAGCUCUAGAGGUGGAGAUGGAAGGUGCCUGUAAGAAGGCAACUUUCAAGCAAAGCCCUGGAGAAUAAAAAGGAACAACUGUGCUAAGAGCUGAGGAAAUAAGUCUUAAGGCAUGAGAGGGUUUGGCAGGGUGAUGAAUCUGAAAACAGACAGUGGCAUGACAGUAAGCAAGGACAAAGGAGGAGUUUGGAGAGAAGGUCAGGGAUCAGGCCAUUUAGGGCCUUAAAGGCCAGAGCAUGGGGCCUGUAUCUUCUCUUACCUUCCAUAGGAUGCCUCUUAAAGCACUUUAUGGGCCAGAGUGACGUGGUAUGAGUGAGGUUUUAAGGAGAUAAUGUUGUUUGUAUCUCUAGUGUGAGAUAAUCUCAGGUAGUAAGGGAAAUGUUGAGGCGAGGUAAGCACUGAGGGUAGGAU
ensembl:lncRNA